CCUACGGGAGGCAGCAGUGGGGAAUAUUGGGCAAUGGAGGGAACUCUGACCCAGCAACGCCGCGUGAGUGAAGAAGGUUUUCGGAUUGUAAAACUCUUUAAGCGGGGACGAAGAAAGUGACUGUACCCGCAGAAUAAGCAUCGGCUAACUACGUGCCAGCAGCCGCGGUAAUACGUAGGAUGCAAGCGUUAUCCGGAAUGACUGGGCGUAAAGGGUGCGUAGGUGGUUUGCCAAGUUGGCAGCGUAAUUCCGUGGCUUAACCGCGGAACUACUGCCAAAACUGGUAGGCUUGAGUGCGGCAGGGGUAUGUGGAAUUCCUAGUGUAGCGGUGGAAUGCGUAGAUAUUAGGAGGAACACCGGUGGCGAAAGCGACAUACUGGGCCGUAACUGACACUGAGGCACGAAAGCGUGGGGAGCAAACAGG
rnacentral:rRNA from 1 species